rnacentral:rRNA from 1 species
UACAGAGGUCCCAAGCGUUGUUCGGAUUCAUUGGGCGUAAAGGAUGCGUAGGUGGUGCCGUAAGUUGGAUGUGAAAUCUCAGGGCUUAACCCUGAACUGCAUCAAUAGCUGCGGUGCUGGAGUACUGGAGAGGAGAUUGGAAUUCACGGUGUAGCAGUGAAAUGCGUAGAUAUCGUGAGGAAGACCAGUGGCGAAGGCGGAUCUCUGGACAGUUACUGACACUGAGGCACGAAGGCCAGGGGAGCAAACGGG